rnacentral:tRNA from 1 species
ACCACCCAACGUGUCCUGAGCUUGGACAUUGGAUACCAAAUUUUCUGGUCACGAGAUUUGGUCAACUCGAUCGUUGGG